rnacentral:rRNA from 1 species
GAUGAACGCUAGCGGCAGGCUUAAUACAUGCAAGUCGAGGGGGAUUAUCUUUGUAGCAAUACAGGGGUAUGAGACCGGCAAACGGGUGAGGAACACGUACGCAACUUUCCCAAAACUGGUGAAUAGCCCUCCGAAAGGAGGAUUAAUACACCGUAACAUAACGAGGUGGCAUCAUUUUGUUAUUAUAGGCUUCGGCCGGUUUUGGAUGGGCGUGCGCCUGAUUAGGUAGUUGGCGGGGUAACGGCCCACCAAGCCUGCGAUCAGUAACUGGUGUGAGAGCACGACCAGUCACACGGGCACUGAGACACGGGCCCGACUCCUACGGGAGGCAGCAGUAAGGAAUAUUGGUCAAUGGACGAAAGUCUGAACCAGCCAUGCCGCGUGAAGGAUGAAGGUCCUCUGGAUUGUAAACUUCUUUUAUCUGGGACGAAAAAGGGAAUUCUUUCCCACUUGACGGUACCAGAGGAAUAAGCACCGGCUAACUCCGUGCCAGCAGCCGCGGUAGACUGUAGUCGU